rnacentral:rRNA from 1 species
UACGAAGGGGGCUAGCGUUGCUCGGAAUGACUGGGCGUAAAGCGCGUGUAGGCGGCAACGCAAGUCGGGCGUGAAAUCCCACGGCUCAACCGUGGAAGUGCACUCGAAACUGCGUAGCUAGAGUCCUGGAGAGGAAGGUGGAAUGCUUGGUGUAGAGGUGAAAUUCGUAGAUAUCAAGCGGAACACCGGUGGCGAAGGCGGCCUUCUGGACAGUGACUGACGCUGAGACGCGAAAGCGUGGGGAGCAAACAGG